ensembl:lncRNA
ACCAGCAGCAGAGUCCAGGGCGGAACAUUCCACUAUGUAGCGAGAGGGGUGUGUGUGUGGGACGAGGGAGAAACCAUUGCGUUGUUUAUAGCGGGGAGGGGAGGGGGCGGGCCAGUGGUUUGCCAUUCUUAACGGAAGAGAGAUUUAAUAUUUUAUAUAUUAAUGGGUUUUAAUAUUAGGGGGGUGGUUUCACCUCCCGUGACGCCUCAGUCGGGUUUUUCCCCCCGUGGAGAAGAGACCGAAUGUUUUAGGAGGGGCACUCCCCCCACCUCACCUCUGAUUGGAUGUCUCGGAUGUGUUGGCGUUUUUAUAUCUAAAUAGUUGGCAGUAAAAACAAAAUAUAUGUAUAUGUAAAAGUAUUUAUUAGAUUUAAUAUACUGAACCUAUGGAUGAAUAUCUCUAUAUCUAUAUCUAUAUUUAAUUAGUCACACUUAUGUUCUUGUGGAUUUUAACAAUGUUGUGUAGUUUGCACACCCCUGGCUUAGGGUUUAUCGUGGGUCCGUCCCGCGUCAGAGGUCAGGGGUCAGGGGUCAGGGGCCGGCUCCGAUGUCACCCCUGCUCCCCUCUGGAGCAGGGCGACCGUUUAGGGUUGAUUCAAGUUUCUUAAAGCCGCGUGUGUCCCGAAAAGACGCCUUUUCUGCAAUGACACAAAAAAAAAGGGUAUAAUUAACGAGGAGGAGGAAGGAAACAGAAAAAAAGUAUAAAAAGAGAAAAAGGAAGUUGAUGUGCUUUGUCCGUCGGGGAGGGCGGCGGGGCUCGUCUGUAGCCGCCAUCUUGUGCCCUCGUCCACGUGGUGCAUUGUGGGAGAAGGCGUGAUGUGGGGGAGGGGGCCGGGCUGACACAGCACGUGCAGUGAAGGGCGAAGUGUAAACGCCUUCGCCAUCUCGCCGGGCGCCACCAACCAAAGCUAGCGCUGCCUGGUGCCCCCCCCUCCCCCCCUCCACCAGGGCCUUUAGCCCCUCCCCCCCGGAACAGCUCCCUGCAUGGACACCAAAAAAUGGGAUAAAAUGAAAAUUAAAAAAUAACUUGAAGUUGUAGUGUUUGUUGGGAUGGUUAAUAGUUGUUUAUUAUGGAAUGCUGCUUUUCUCUGGUGAGAUGUUGACGAGGAGGUACGCCCGUAGCCUGUAGCGGCGUGGCGCUCGACCAACAGAAGGACAGGGGGAUUGUGGGAAAUGUAGUGACGACUAGGUGGGACUCUUCAGGACUGAGUGUCAAGGCCUGUGUGCGUGCGUGUGCUUAUGUGUGUGUGUUUUUUCUCAUCACUGUCUUCAGAGAGAAAUAAAGACCUCAUUUCAAGGCAGCGUUUGUUCCAACUUCUUCUUCUCUUCUUUUACCUUCAAACGUCUCGUCAACUUGAAUGCCUUUCCGGUGGGAGUUCACCAUGUUUACUACGCCCCGCCUCCCGGCCCUCACUUCAUCGGCGCACGCCACCGCACUCCCCCUCCCUCUGCCCCCUCCCGGCACCAUGGUAACGGCGUGAAGCGGGGGUGGGACCCAUGGUGCCCGGAGAGUGAGAGCUGGGGGGGCGCAGGCCCUGGUGCUGACCCCAGCUGCCCCCCAGGUGAGGGGCUUUCAGGAGGACGGCGUCGUCGACGUGGAGGUCCGACGUGGGGGGCGUUCUCUCGUUGUUCCCCGUGUGUCGUUUUGUGGUCACUCGUUUUGUUCCUAGCGCACAGCGGCUGAUGCCUUAAAGCCCAGUGUGGGCGUAACCGAUGGUAACAUAGAUGGUAUAUAUGAAUAUAUAAUGAGAGAGAGUAGGAUAUAUGAAGAGGCAUCCCAGGGCACCAUUCCUCCGCAGUGUGACCGCCCUCAGGCACGCUGUCCCUCCUCGCAUCGCACAACUAAUAAAGCCUUCCAACCUCAUCGCCGCAUCCGGACGCACACGCUAACACACACACACACACAAACACAAUACAGACACACACACACAGCCACGCACAGUCAUCCAGCACUGCCUUCCUCUCUGAAGGGCCAGCGGUCGACCCAACAGGACAGAAGUGGUUCCAAGUUUUGUGUACUGAAACUUUUUAGAGAUUUGGGCUUUCUAAAAACGAUCACUUUGAAUGUGAACGAGUCCCCCCUCCCCCACAGGGCAGCCAUUUAUAUUUGCCAGUGAAAUGAAAGAAUAAAAAAAACAUUUUAAAACCCUUGUUUACCAA